GUCAUUUUGAUAACGGGCGAUGGCAUAAAUGAACCAAACUAUUGAUGAGCUGCAUAAAUGAGUCAUUUCCGAUAGUUCAAUGGUAAAUGAGCCAAACUAUUGACGAGUGACAUAAAUGAGUGAGUUUCAUAGUUCGAUGACAUAUUUAAGUUUUUUUUUUUUUUUUUUUUUGGGUCGCUAAAGUUACACUUCUGGGACGAGAAACUCAAUAUAAAUCGGACAUGACCUAAUUUCCUAGAACCUAGCAGCAGUUCCAUGAGCAAAACUGCUGCAAUACCCACAAAGCCCUAAUUUUCUCUCUUAGAAAUCAUGAAAAGCCACCGACACAGAUUGUUUGAGGUCUCCGGUGAGUCGAGCUCUGGUCGCAGUCAGGAGAGUUGAAAUCAGAUUGUUUGCUUUUAGCUCGCAACGAUAGAGACUCUGGGUUAGUCCGUCCGGAUUACUUGGGUAUGGAACCUGUUCAAUCUCUUCCAAGUUAGUACAUCUAUUGAAAAGAAAGAGAAAAUAUUGUUUAGAGAGAGUACUGUUCUUUAAUUCUGAUUAAGUCUAAUUUACUAUUGUUUAGAGAGAGUACUGUUCUUUAAUUCUGAUUAAGUCUAAUUUACAGUAGCCAAUUUCCUGUACAGAACUAAAACUACUGGAGAUCUUCACUAUUGUGAUAUUGAUAUUGUUCAAUCUCUUCCAAGUUAGUACAUUUAUUGAAUAGAAGGAAAGAAUAUUGUUCUUUGAUUUUGAUCAAGUCUAUAUACACUAGCCAAUCAUGUACAGAACAAAACUACUGGAGAUCUUCACUAUUGUUAUAUUGGUAUUCAUUUACAUGGUGUGAUGGUGCUUAUAUUAACAAGAAAAUGUGACAUUUAUUCUGGUUGGAGGGAAAGAGAAGGAAUAUUAAAGAAUUUAUCAGAAGGGUAGCAUAUCCCUCCAUUUAACUUAUUCUUCCACGAAGUAAAAAAAGGAGAUACUCCUUAUCCUCUAAUCAUCCCAAUUAGCUAUGUAAUUAGAUAUAGCAAAAUACGUGAAGUUUGCUUGUGUUGGUGGGAGAUAAUAGGUACCCGUUAAAUUAAUCGAGGUGCGUGCAAGGUCCGUACACCACUAGUGUAAAAAAAAAAAUGCGAAGUUUGAUGUCCCAAGAUGAUGGGAGGGUCUCUUCAGUUUACAAGCUACCCUCCCAAUUGGCCAAAUUGUGAUAUACGAGGCCUGAGUUGUGUCUGAAAUAGCAGUUAUUUGGAUUUGCUCUUAAAUCUUAAUUCUAUCACCAAGUGAAGCAGAAAGUGGCAAGGAAAGAAACAUCAGCAAGGCCCUGGACUUGGAUGUUAUUGUCUUGUGGCUAAAUCAUUUCUGGUGGGCCUUUUAUAGUGCUGUCACAGGGAUCACGCCAGAUUAGCAAACCAGCCCACUUCAAUUAUUGGCAUCAUUCUUGUAGAUUAUAGUUUUAACCACAAAAGAUCAAAGCUCGGA